CCCCAAGAUGAGAUUUCCCAUUUCUUCGGAAAGUAAGAUCCCUGAAAGAUGAUCAGGUAGAUAGUUUGGAGUGGAAGUGUAGCGAUACAUGGAGCGGACAAAUACUAAUCGAUCGAGGACUUAACCAAAA
rnacentral:rRNA from 1 species